rnacentral:rRNA from 1 species
UACGAAGGGGGCUAGCGUUGUUCGGAUUUACUGGGCGUAAAGCGCACGUAGGCGGAUCGUUAAGUCGGGGGUGAAAUCCUGGAGCUCAACUCCAGAACUGCCUUCGAUACUGGCGAUCUUGAGUCCGGAAGAGGUGAGUGGAACUCCUAGUGUAGAGGUGGAAUUCGUAGAUAUUAGGAAGAACACCAGUGGCGAAGGCGGCGCACUGGUCCGGUACUGACGCUGAGGUGCGAAAGCGUGGGGAGCAAACAGG